AGAGUUGUAGCUCAGUGGUAGAGUGCUUGCCUAAGGUGUGAAGCACUGGGUUCGAAACUCAGCACCUCCU
rnacentral:tRNA from 1 species